AGGGAUGUGUCUCAGUCGGUAGGACAGCUGCCUUGCAUGUAGAAGGACUCAGCUUCAAUCCCUAACAUCUCCA